rnacentral:rRNA from 1 species
ACCUCAAAUCGGGUGAGACUACCCGCUGAACUUAAGCA